UCCGCUAGUUUGAUCCUGGCUCAGAUUGAACGCUGGCGGCAUGCCCUACACCACUGCAAGUCGAACGGCAGCACCGGGGGCAACCCCUGGUGGCGAGUGGCGAACGGGUGAGUAAUACAUCGGGAACGUGUCCCUGUAGUGGGGGAUAGCCCGGCGAAAGCCGGAUUAAUACCGCAUACGAUCUACGGAAGAAAGCCGGGGGAUCCGCAGACCUCCGCGCUAUAGGGGCGGCCGAUGGCAGAUUAGCUAGUUGGUGGGGUAAAGGCCUACCAGGCGACGAUCCUGUAGCUGGUCCUGAGAGGACGACCAGCCACACUGGGACUGAGACACGGCCCAGACUCCCUACGGGAGGCAGCAGUGGGGAAUUUUGGACAAUGGGGGAAACCCUGAUCCAGCAAUGCCGCGUGUGUGAAGAAGGCUUCCGGGUUGUAAAGCACUUUUGUCCGGACCCAGAAAACUUCUGCCCUAAUACGGCGGGAGGAUGACGGUACCGGAAGAAUAACGACCCCCGGGGAA
rnacentral:rRNA from 1 species